GUUAAUCCCUCCUACCCCUUUGGAUGUCCUAAUACAUUUACUAUUAUCAGAAACAAUUUUUUCCCCCUACCCCUCCAGACGGCAGAAAUUUCCUCUGUGGGGGGAGUGUGGAUCUUUUCUGGAACGACCCAACGACUCAUCACUGUAUGUCAGAAUACUGUUCUAAGUUGCAACUAAAAUCCAGAGGUCUAAAAGGCUCAAGUCAAUUCCACUGGUGUAACCAGAGGGGGGGGGGUCAAAAUAUUUUAAAUGUUCCGGACUUGUUUGCAAUUAAGUAGAG